GAGCUUGUAACUCAGUUGGUGAGAGUGUACACCUGAUAAGUGUAAAGUCAGCAGUUCAAAUCUGCUCAAGCUCA
rnacentral:tRNA from 2 species